rnacentral:misc_RNA from 1 species
AAAAAUAUAUAAAUUAAAAUUAUUUUUAGCCAUGUGCAAAAGCACAGGCAAUUACCUAGUUCUAUUAGUAUAUCAGGAUCAGGCGUUAAAUUGAAAUGCAGUCUUAACAGUUGCUAUCCAUUUACUGUUGCUUAUAAGUUUGUGUGCACAUUCAUGAACAAAAAUGCUAUUAAUUAUCAAAUUUAACUUUGCCAGGAAGUCUCAUAGUGGGUAGUUU